GAAAGCCAGUGAUGCUUUGUUAUCCCUGUCUGAAUUAAUGAGGGAAAUAGUACAUUCUGAGGCUUUC